AGCUAAUAGAUACCCAGGUAGUCCACGCCCUAAACGAUGUCUACUAGUUGUUGGUGGAGUAAAACUCCAUGAGUAAACGCAGCUAACGCGUGAAGUAGACCGCCUGGGGAGUACGGUCGCAAGAUUAAAACUCAAAGGAAUUGACGGGGGGCCCGCACAAGCGGUGGAUUAUGUGGAUUAAUUCGAUGCAACGCGAAAACCCUUACCUGGCCUUGACAUGCCACUAACGAAGCAGAGAUGCAUUAGGUGCCCGUAAGGGAAACGUGGACACAGGUGCUGCAUGGCUGUCGUCAGCUCGUGUCGUGAGAUGUUGGGUU
rnacentral:rRNA from 1 species